CUUCUCCUAGCUCAAGUAUGCUUUUAAGUCGUUGGAUAUAGUGGCCGAGUUAGGAUUUUCACUAAGGGUUUAAAAUAUGAAAGUAAACAUAUGAAGAGGACAAAGGGGAUUCAAUAUCAUUAGUGAAAAGUUCUUUUCACACUUCUUAUGCUUUUAAGGUGGUGGAUACAGUGGCCGAGCUAAGAUUUCUAAUAAGGGGUUUAAAAUAUCAAAAGUAGAUAUACGAAGAAGUCGAAGGGGGUCGAACAUCACCAGUGAAAUGUUCUUUUGUUUUGUACUUCUCCUAUGC
rnacentral:lncRNA from 1 species